AUUGAACGCUGGCGGCAGGCUUAACACAUGCAAGUCGGACGGUAACAGGGAGAAGCUUGCUUCUUUGCUGACGAGUGGCGGACGGGUGAGUAAUGCUUGGGAAUCUGUUUUAUGGAGGGGGAUAACUACGGGAAACUGUAGCUAAUACCGCGUAAUAUCGAGAGAUUAAAGUGUGGGACCGUAAGGCCACAUGCCAUAGAGUGAGCCCAAGUGGGAUUAGGUAGUUGGUGGGGUAAAGGCCUACCAAGCCGUCGAUCUCUAGCUGGUCUGAGAGGAUGACCAGCCACACUGGGACUGAGACACGGCCCAGACUCCUACGGGAGGCAGCAGUGGGGAAUAUUGCACAAUGGGCGCAAGCCUGAUGCAGCCAUGCCGCGUGAAUGAAGAAGGCCUUCGGGUUGUAAAGUUCUUUCGGUGGUGAGGAAGGUUGUAAUGUUAAUAGCAUUAUAAUUUGACGUUAGCCACAGAAGAAGCACCGGCUAACUCCGUGCCAGCAGCCGCGGUAAUACGGAGGGUGCGAGCGUUAAUCGGAAUAACUGGGCGUAAAGGGCACGCAGGCGGAUACUUAAGUGAGGUGUGAAAGCCCUGGGCUUAACCUAGGAAUUGCAUUUCAUACUGGGUAUCUAGAGUAUUUUAGGGAGGGGUAGAAUUCCACGUGUAGCGGUGAAAUGCGUAGAGAUGUGGAGGAAUACCGAAGGCGAAGGCAGCCCCUUGGGGGAAUACUGACGCUCAUGUGCGAAAGCGUGGGGAGCAAACAGG
rnacentral:rRNA from 1 species